CGCACAUUGCGCCCCUUGGUAUUCCAUGGGGCAUGCCUGUUCGAGCGUCAUUUGUACCCUCAAGCUCUGCUUGGUGUUGGGUGUUUGUCCCCUCUCUGAUGGGGGGACUCGCCUCAAAGACAUUGGCAGCCGGUGUAUUGGUUUUGAAGCGCAGCACAAUUUGCGAUCCAGCCCCAACUCACCAGCGUCCAGCAAGUACAUUUAUCACUUUUGACCUCGGAUCAGGUAGGGAUACCCGCUGAACUUAA
rnacentral:misc_RNA from 1 species